AAUAUUGCACAAUGGAGGAAACUCUGAUGCAGCGACGCCGCGUGAGCGAAGAAGGCCUUCGGGUCGUAAAGCUCUGUCCUAUGGGACGAUAAUGACGGUACCAUAGGAGGAAGCCCCGGCUAACUACGUGCCAGCAGCCGCGGUAAUACGUAGGGGGCGAGCGUUGUCCGGAAUUACUGGGCGUAAAGGGUACGCAGGCGGCCAUGUAAGUCAGAUGUGAAAGGCGUAGGCUUAACCUAUGUAAGCAUUUGAAACUGUGUGGCUUGAGUUAAGGAGAGGAAAGUGGAAUUCCUGGUGUAGCGGUGAAAUGCGUAGAUAUCAGGAGGAACACCAGUGGCGAAGGCGACUCUCUGGACUGCAACUGACGCUCAGGUACGAAAGCGUGGGGAGCAAACA
rnacentral:rRNA from 1 species